AGUGCAUCAGAAACAGAGGAACCUGUUCAUUCAAGGUAAAAGAAUCAAGGAAAACAGUCAGUUCUGCUGCUAUUUCCUCUCACGUUCCAGAUCUAACGGUGAAGAUCAAUCUAUACUGCUCGUUUCCGUGAGCAGUAUAUAUGCGGAACAACCGGGGGCAGAUGAGCAGUAUACGGGAUCUGGGGGCAAAAUCAAAUUCUCUAGAGACGAGAAAACUGAACCGAUGGAUUGCUUGGAAAGAAGGAAACACAUGCAUACAAAUCCUAGAGCGAGAGAUGAUUUUUUGAUGGGCAGCUCAUGCGAACAACAGAGAGAAGGCAACGCGUCGUAGGUAGAGAUCGGUUCAUCACCAGCUGCAGCAAGCCCAGCAGAUGCAACAACAUAGAAUCCAAGAGGGAGGUAAAGCUAGCUUUGUUUUGAAUGAGCGACGUGAAGAUACGGGCGAGCACCGGCCGGCAGCUAAGUGUACCGGACCUGUGUUAAUCUUACGGUAAAUUCUAAUUUUGGGCUAAGGAGUCAAUAAUACCCUAAAAAAUCGACGGCCAGAUUUAUCAUAUACUGCUCACCACCUAAUUUUUUACCAGGUCAGUGUUUCCGAAAUUAACCACAGCACUAUGUUUCUUCUGUCUUGAUGGCUCCAGCAGAUAUGUUUAUUUUUGGAAUUAUUUUAAUGCAGUCGUUAUUAUAGGAAUCAUCUCAACAUUCCAUGCUUUGUCAAAUGUGCUCCCAUAUUCCCUCUGCUGGUCUACCUUUGAGGAAAACCGCAGAACCCGGAAUAUGCUUGUAGCAGUAGCAUCAUUGUUUCAUUUGCAUUUUUUUUCUUCUUAAAACGAGAUACACUAA